AGCGAACGCUGGCGGCAGGCCUAACACAUGCAAGUCGAACGAACUCUUCGGAGUUAGUGGCGGACGGGUGAGUAACACGUGGGAACGUGCCUUUUGGUUCGGAAUAACUCAGGGAAACUUGUGCUAAUACCGAAUGUGCCCUUCGGGGGAAAGAUUUAUCGCCAUUAGAGCGGCCCGCGUCUGAUUAGCUAGUUGGUGAGGUAACGGCUCACCAAGGCGACGAUCAGUAGCUGGUCUGAGAGGAUGACCAGCCACACUGGGACUGAGACACGGCCCAGACUCCGACGGGAGGCAGCAGUGGGGAAUCUUGCGCAAUGGGCGAAAGCCUGACGCAGCCAUGCCGCGUGAAUGAUGAAGGUCUAAGGAUUGUAAAAUUCUUUCACCGGGGACGAUAAGGACGGUACCCGGAGAAGAAGCCCCGGCUAACUUCGUG
rnacentral:rRNA from 1 species